AUGGAGCCCGUGUCCCACGCCGGGAUAUAUCGCAACGACUCAUCGCCGGCUUUCAACGUCACGCUGCACGCCAGGAGCACCUACAAGCACAGCUUCUGCAGCGACGGCAGAGGCGGGGACGUGCAGGCGGUGUACUCGGGCAUCACCAUCGCCAUGGGCCACGUGCCGCCCUUCUGCGUGGAGCCCAAAGGCUCGAUCGCCAUGACCGCGGCUGCCUCGUCGGGCUGGCCGGCUAUGCCCGCUUCGCUGCAAGAACGUAUCGACAAUGACAGGAGGAACGACGGGGUGGAACUGGAGGUCGAUCUCAGCUUCGCCAACGAUAUCAAGGGGUUAGUGUGGGUGCGCUGUCGUGCCAAGUUGGAUGCCACGAGCACAUCAACAUGCCAAUCUUUCGGCCUGGGAUACAUUUUUGUGUAA
rnacentral:rRNA from 1 species